rnacentral:rRNA from 1 species
GGUGAAAAGCACCCCGGAAGGGGAGUGAAAUAGAACCUGAAACCGUGUGCUUACAAGUAGUCAGAGCCCGUUAAUGGGUGAUGGCGUGCCUUUUGUAGAAUGAACCGGCGAGUUACGAUUUGAUGCAAGGUUAAGCAGUAAAUGUGGAGCCGUAGCGAAAGCGAGUCUGAAUAGGGCGUUUAGUAUUUGGUCGUAGACCCGAAACCAGGUGAUCUACCCUUGGUCAGGUUGAAGUUCAGGUAACACUGAAUGGAGGACCGAACCGACUUACGUUGAAAAGUGAGCGGAUGAACUGAGGGUAGCGGAGAAAUUCCAAUCGAACCUGGAGAUAGCUGGUUCUCUCCGAAAUAGCUUUAGGGCUAGCCUCAAGUGAUGAUUA